UAUAUGUAGUUGUGUAUACCUGACAAAUUUUUCAUACUAAACUUUUAUCUAUUUAUUUGUUUCUAUAUAGAUAUUAACUAUUUGUUUAUUUAUUUAUAUAUUAAAAAUGGUUAUUAAAAGAUUUUAUGUAGCCAAAUAAAUAUAAAAAAGGUGUUAGAGUGACUGGGUCUUAAAGUCUUUACCCUUUAUUCUGUGAUGGAGCAAUUGUAAUUUUCUGCACUUGAAAUGUGAAUAAUGGUUGGUGUUACACGCAUAUUGGAUAAUGGAAAUCUUGGUGUUCAAAUGCAUUACAUAUAUUAAUUGUAUACACUUGACUGUAUUUAGCUCCUAUAGUUCUUGAAAUUAGCAUGAAACAUGAAAUAUCUGAAUUAAUUCAGCAUUAAUAGUUGUUAUGAAAUAAUGCCAGGUAAAUUUACUAUUAGUGUUAAUCGAUAGAUAAUCCAAUAUUGAUAUGUUCAAUAAUUAUUUUUAUAUAAAUCUGUAUUUAAAGAUAAAGAAAACUAUGAACCAUGAAUCAGUGAGUAUUUUGAAAUAGCUUUUAAUAUAGUUGAGACAGAAUGAUAGAAUUAUACAUAUGAAUGCACUGUGUAACAGAAUUAAUAAAAUGCUUUUUUUUUAUUUUAUAUUUUGAAAUGUAUACCUAGCAAGAAAUUUGAACUAAGAUCAUAUGAUAAAUAUUUAGUUCACAAAAAUAAUUUUAAAAACAACAGUCGUUUGAAAAAAUUACUCCAUGUAGUUUUCAAUCCAACGAAAUGCAUGAAACAUUUAAUACCGUCGGAGAAAAACCUAGAAUUUAUUAGUAAAGGCGAAAAAUGAACGGAUUUUUAGUGAAACCAACUUCUAUCAAACUAAGCGUGAUAUUAAAGAUAGAACGUCUGAAAUUAUGAAGAUAAUAAAUAACGAUGCUUUAGAAAUUGAAGAGAUUUACAAGGAUUACGAAA